CGCCGUGGUCUCGCCCGCCCCCGCUGCCAUGUUGGAUCGCGCGGCCGCCGGGGCCGGGCCGGAGUUGGAAGUUUAGGGGCGGGAGCGAUCGGGAGCGGCCCCGGCGCGGAGCGGCUUCCGCGCGGCUGCACUGCUGCCUGGCACCCCCUUUCCCGACCGCCCCCCUCCCCGCCGCUCCUCUUCUCCUCCUUCCUUCCUCGGCCCCGCGAAGAGGCUCCGCGAUGCGGCUGCUGUGAGGCCCCGGCAGCGGCGGCGGAGGAGGAAGGGGAGGAAGGGGCCGCGGGCGCCAUCGGUCGCAGGGCGGCGAGGGCAGCGCCGGGCCGGCCCCGGCCAUGAGCGGCGCCCCGCAGCAGCAGCCCCCGCGGCGGGUCACUAACGUGGGCUCGCUGCUGCUCACCCCGCAGGAGAACGAGAGCCUCUUCGGCUUCCUCGGCAAGAAAUGCGUGACGAUGUCAUCAGCAGUUGUUCAGAUAUAUGCAGCAGAUCGCAAUGCCAUGUGGUCAAAGAAGUGCUGUGGUGUAGCUUGCCUUGUAAAGGACAAUCCACAGAGGUCAUAUUUUAUCAGAAUAUUUGACAUUAAGGAUGGGAAAUUAUUGUGGGAGCAGGAGCUGUACAAUAACUUUGUAUAUAAUAGUCCUAGAGGAUAUUUUCAUACCUUUGCUGGAGAUACAUGUCAAGUUGGUCUUAAUUUUGCUAAUGAAGAAGAAGCUAAACUAUUCCGCAAAACAGUAACAGAUUUACUUGGACGACGGCAGAGAAAAUCUGAAAAAAGACGAGACCCACCAAAUGGCCCAAAUCUACCAAUGGCAACUGUUGAUAUCAAAAACCCUGAAAUUACAACUAACAGAUUUUAUACUCCACAAGUCAACAAUAUUUCAUAUACCAAAGAAAAGAAGAAAGGAAAAACUAAAAAGAGAAGAUUGACAAAGGCAGAUAUUGGAACUCCAUCUAAUUUCCAACACAUUGGACAUGUUGGUUGGGAUCCAAACACAGGUUUUGAUGUGAACAAUUUAGACCCAGAACUGAAAAAUCUGUUUGAUCUGUGUGGAAUUUCAGAGGCUCAACUAAAAGACAAAGAAACUUCGAAGGUCAUAUAUGAUUUCAUUGAAAAAACAGGAGGUGUGGAAGCUGUUAAAAAUGAACUGCGCAGACAAGCUCCACCUCCGCCACCACCGUGCAGAGGAGGACCCCCUCCACCUCCACCUCCCCCUCCCCAUAGCUCGGGCCCUCCUCCUCCUCCUGCUAGGGGCCGAGGGGCACCACCUCCACCUCCUUCAAGGGCUCCCACAGCAGCACCUCCGCCCCCACCUCCAUCUAGACCUGGUGCAACAGUGCCCCCACCUCCUCCCAACCGGAUGUAUCCUCCACCACCACCCGUGCAUUCCUCAUCCGCACCAUCCGGCCCUCCUCCGCCCCCACCGCCACCAGCAAGUGGGUCAUCUGUUCCUCCGCCCCCUCCACCUCCUCCACCCCCUCCUGGUCCACCUCCACCACCAGGCCUUCCUUCAGAGGUUGAUCACCAGCUUCCAGUUCCUUCGGGAAACAAAGCAGCACUCUUGGAUCAAAUCAGAGAAGGAGCUCAGUUAAAGAAGGUAGAACAGAACAGUCGACCAGUGUCCUGCUCAGGAAGAGAUGCACUGCUAGACCAGAUACGACAGGGUAUACAGUUGAAAUCUGUAUCUGAUGGUCAGGAAAGUGCACCACCUACACCUGCACCCACCUCAGGGAUUGUGGGUGCAUUAAUGGAAGUUAUGCAGAAAAGGAGCAAAGCCAUUCACUCUUCAGAUGAAGAUGAGGAUGAAGAUGAUGAAGAAGACUUUGAGGAUGAUGACGAAUGGGAUGAUUGAUCAUAUAUUAUUAUAUAUAUAUUUUUUAAGGAGCUGGGAUAUUCUUCUGACUCACUGCACUAAUGUCCUGGAUAAUUCAGAUGUUACCACAUCUCAGCCCUUACUACUUGGCCAUUCUUGUCUUCACUAACAAUGCCCCUAAACCCCCUGGUAGAAAUACAGUUAGCACAAAUACCUUCAGCAGCUUACAGCACACAGCUAUCGUUCAGCACGUUUCAAAGAAACUGAAGUUGUCCUGUUGUGGAUUUCUCUUUGGGAAAAUAAUGUCCUACUCGUGUAUCAAAGUGAAGAGCAACAGAGAUCCUAAAUGACCAGUUGGGAAAACAUCAUGCUGGUUGCUCUCAAGAGCACUGUGAGAGAUCAUUGCAGCUCCCCCAGACCCAGCAAGAGGAAUGAACAGCCCUGCAGUUUUCCACCUCAUGGCUUGUUGAAGAACUGAGCAGUUUUACAAUUUGUCCCAGAAGUAAUGAACUCUCCAGACUUCUUAAUUUCAAAUCAAAUGAGAGACCCUGAGUCUGCCCAAGAGAUUCAUUAACCUUGAAUUUCAAAGAAGAUAUCCUAUAAACAGAGCCAUAGUCAAAUUGAAAAUCUUUUGAGAGCACUGCUCCAUUUGGAGGAGGGGUUAAAUAUUUAUCGUCUUGGAAAGAAGCUGAUUUGGAAAGCAGGUGUUUAAACAUUCAUUGAAAUAGGCAGUGAAAUUCAGGUCUUUGCUUUGAGCCAUCUCAGGCAUGUGAGUCUCACCCCAACAGCAGCACCGGAGACCCAGAAAUUCCACAAUGGAAGUAAUGAAUGGGCCCAUCUCUAAUGAAAGAACCUCUGCAUCUUUCACCCCAUUGCCACUUUAUCCCACGUGGCACUGCUAAUGUCAGUGCAAUGACGAGACAGUAUCAGACAAUCCACAGGCAGAGCAGGUGAUGGGAGAGCAGUCUUGGGUCAUGCAGAACCCCAAAGGACCACACAUUCCCAGUUACUCAGCACCACAUCUCCUCUGGUGGGGAAUAAAGCUGAGGAGAAGGGCACUGCAGGAGGGAAAGCUGACUACCUCAGGAUCAGUGUGACUGCCCCAGGAUCAGUGUGACUGCCCCAGGAUCAGUGUGACUGCCCCAGGAUCAGUGUGGCUGCUUCAGGAUCAGUGUGACUGCCCCAGGAUCAGUGUGGCUGCUUCAGGAUCAGUGUGGCUGCCCCAGGAUCAUUGUGACGGCCCCAGGAUCAGUGUGGCUGCCCCAGGAUCAGUGUGGCUGCUUCAGGAUCAGUGUGACUGCCCCAGGAUCAGUGUGGCUGCUUCAGGAUCAGCCUGCAGUGGGAUCACAGCUGGCUGACAGGGCAGGAAGCUGAGGGCCCUGAGGGCAGCUGUCUGAGGACCUAGUGCCCCCUGCAUUGAUCAGGUCUGCUCACCUUGCAUUUAAUAAGGCAUUAGAAGGAGACACAGCAAGCUGUAGUAUUGACAUGCUGUUCUGUCACUCACAGAUAAGGGCAUUCAUUGCCACUCUGAGGUAGUCAAAUAAGAGCUAUCCAGUGUGAAUGGUCCUCCAUGCCCAGUGUGGUUGAUAUCAAUGACCUUACUUUUCACCUAAGAAGAUGACAAAGAACUAAAUAAGACUUCCCAAUGGACAUUGUUUAGGGAGACUUUGAGGCCCAUCUACUAUGGAUUUUUAAGAGCCAGUUUAAUUAUGUUUGAUGUUUUCUUGGAGCAAAGGCCAGUCUGGAGGAGUUUUUAUGCUCUACAGACAGGAAGCUGAUGAAAUGUGCUCAGUGCCCUUGAGGUAACACCAUGUCUUGUAACAGGGAGCUGUCAGAGCAGGAUUAGGGCUCUGGACUGAUACCCAGCUGUGAGCUCAGCUCUCCAUGUGACCUGUGGGAUUCUUUGCAGUGGGAAUUCAAGAGUGGGAGCCAGUGGCACGGUGGGGCUAUUCAGGCUGCUCAGCUGUGCUGGCCUAUCAACUAUCAACAUCUGUGGCUCUGUAUCACUAAGAGCUUAGGGUACUGAUCCAGAAAAAUUAUAUCCAAGCUAAAUCCAUGCUGCCCAAUACUGUCCUCCCUCUGUUCGUAGCUAGAGGUUCCAGCAUCUCCUUUGCACCAGCAACACAGCUCUGAAACUGCAGUGAGAGGUCUAGGGAAGCAAACUGGAACAGUCUUCCUUUUUGCUGGUUGAUUUUUUUUUUCUGCAGUGCACAUCCAGAGCUGAAAAACUGUCCUGGAGCUGCACCAGCUGGUGUUGCACCUAAAAUCAAACAACUGGGAUGCUUGGAGUGAUUGGAUCUCAAACUCAUCUUAGUCACUUUAAACUAUAGCAGAGACUGAAAAGUUUAGCUCAUGAGCGGCUAGACGGAAGAUAAUCCCGGCAUGGGAUGACAUAAAUCUUCUAACAAGGGCUUGUAACACACCCAAACCCAUGCUAAACUGGGAUGAAAGGCAGGAGAAUUUGCCCUGGAGUAUUUGUCUGGGUGCUGCCUGUGCAGUCACAAACCUGGGCUGGUGCUGGUGCCUGUCUCACCACUCACAAUAUGGGCAGAGCUUGCUUGUACCUGCCCACCCUCACAGCUGAGACUGACCUGCCACAGCCUGGGCACACUUGGUGAAGAGGAAAACAAAGGGCUGGAAUUUGGCAGAAGUGAUUAAGAGCACAUGAAACCCGAGCACUGUUGCCUUCCAACUUGUUUGUGAAACACAGCAACACAUGCAUGGGUCGCAGAUUUAGAGAGCAGUAAGCUGAGACCAAGCAACAGGGGUGACCCCACACUGUGUACACAUAAACACUUCCUUCAGGUGCCUGCAAAACUCACUGCUUUAACUGUAGCUCAUUGGCAGCCCUCAAGAACUUUGAUGAGUGUGAUAAUUAAAAAAUACAGCUAUGCAUACAUGCAAGCAAAAUAGCCUUCAUACGUGGAGGCUAUACUGGGUUAGUCUGGUGAAAUGUCUUCUAGGCCACUCCUGGGAAUCAUCCCAAAUUUAUCCUCCCCAGAGUGCAUAAGCAUUUCUGACUAUCAGUUCCUUAGAAGCUUGUUUCUCAAGUGAGGGAAUGGCAGAAAUGGCGUGUCUUCCUUUACACAGUCAUUCUUUCACAGCCAGGUCACCUGUGAGACUCCUGUCCUCAUGGCUUGACUCAUCUGCAUUCACAAAAUUUCCUGCAUUGGAUCAUGGGCUGUCCUUCUCUCACCAUUUAGAAAUAGACCAUAUAGAAAUAUUCACUUAUAUUCCACCAGUUAAAGUAUUCCUCUUAGCAAAAAUGUGGUAAUAAUGAAUUCUACAGCACUUGAUGCCUGAGGAUCUUGGAGCACACUUCAGUCUAUGUGAACAUAACCUUGCAGUACUGUGAGAUGGAUCAGUACUGAUGUCUCCAAGGCAAAGUAGAGGCAUAACAAAUUAAAAAAUAUACCCUAGAGUACACAAACAGCCCAGGACAUAACCCUCAGUCUUGGCUUUGAGAAACAUGUCUGGGCUCUUACCAUACACUCAAUAAGAAUUUUUUCUGUGACUGUAUUUUAAUAAAAGAAAAGUAUCUUUCCCUGUGUUAUAGAAAAUAACUCUUUUUUUUUUUUGCCAUUAAAAAGGCUUUAUAAAAUUCAUAUUUAUUUGAAGGUGAAAGUAGUCAAAGGUUACAGAUAGAAAUAAAUACAUUUGGCAG